GCUCAACCGCCCACCGUACUUUUUGAAACAUGGCGUCUGACGAAGACAGCGUUGAAGAUUUAAUGACUUAUGGAACUCCUUUAGAGCCAUUGAACGAAGGUGUAUCCUCCCCUGAUCUACUAUGUGACUAUUGGCCUGUACAUACAUUAUUUCCACCCUGUGGUUGAUUCAUUCCUUGUCAGCCGUAUUUGCCCAGGCACUUCAGGCUUCACACGGACACCUAUCCAAGGAUAUUAACCCAGCAGGGCUGCCACGCCUUAGAUUCUGCUCAAAGACAUGAAAUGCUGGGAGAGACAGCUCUACAGGCAGAUGCCAGACCUUUAAACCAUUCACAAAAAAUCCUCUGAAAUAGACUCGCUAUGACCUCUAUAUCAGCAAACUCAAACAAGGAGACAAAGUCAUUUGUAAAUGCCCAGGAGUCAAGUCUGGACUCAUCCAUGAUGGAGUGGGAGAGAGGAAGAGAAAGGGAGGAAUUUGUGCGUGCUGUGUUACUCCAUAUGCCAAGCAACUCCUCGCGGUUCACACGUAGCAAACAUGAGAACGACACGGACAAUGUGGAGGUCACAAAAGCUCAAGAGCCCAACCCUGCCGAUGGAUAGCAGAAGACUGAAGAGAAGGAGGACAAUGAGGAAGAUCUGAGGCCUCCAAUGAUAAUUGUCAAACCUCCAGGACAAGCUAUAAAACAUAUCUGAAGAACAGUUUGUCCUUUUGUGAGGAUUCUGUCUUACAAACACAGCAACAUAAUGGAAGAAAGAGUGUGUGUGUGUGUGCGCUUUGGUGAAUGUCUUCA